rnacentral:rRNA from 1 species
GAUGAACGCUGGCGGCGUGCCUAAUACAUGCAAGUCGAGCGAACAGACCAGUAGCUUGCCUCUCUGACGUUAGCGGCGGACGGGUGAGUCACACGUGGAUAACCUCCCUCUCUUCCUGGUAUACCUUCGGGACACCGUCGCUAAUACCGUAUAAUAUAUGUAUCCGUAUCGUUCUAUAGUGAUUUUUGGUUUUGCUGUCACUUCUCGAUGUAUCCGCGCCGCAUUAGCUAGUUGGUCAGGUAACGGCUUACCGAGGCAACGGGGCGUAGCCGACCGGAGAGGGUGAUCGGCCACAAGAGAACUGAGAGACGGUCCAGAAUCGUAAGGGAGGCAGGAGUAGGGAAGCUGGCAGAAGGGGCGAAUGCUUGACGAAGCAAGGAAGCGUGAUUGAGGAAGGUCGUGUGAUCGAAAAACGCUGUUAGGAGGGAAGAACAAUUGGGUAAGGACCUAGGCUAGUCGUGACGGUACCUAAACAGAAAGCCACGGCUAACUACGUG